rnacentral:ncRNA from 1 species
UUCGCUGGCGUGCGUUCACUCCACAACAUGAACGGCGACCAUCAAAAAAGGAGGGUCUAAUCUCCGCGUUACUCGCGGUGCGGCAGUGUGGAGACCUGCCGUAAUGCGUGUCAUCCUGCGCGGAUGCGCGCGAGGUGUUCCGGCGUGGGCCGGAGCAUCAGAGUAGAGCACAUGUCU